rnacentral:rRNA from 1 species
UUAGGGUUCGAUUCCGGAGAGGGAGCCUGAGAAACGGCUACCACAUCUAAGGAAGGCAGCAGGCGCGCAAAUUACCCAAUCCUAAUACAGGGAGGUAGUGACAAGAAAUAACAAUACAGAACCUUACGGUUUUGUAAUUGGAAUGAGUUAAGUAUAAACCCCUUAACAAGUAUCAAUUGGAGGGCAAGUCUGGUGCCAGCAGCCGCGGUAAUUCCAGCUCCAAUAGCGUAUAUUAAAGUUGUUGCAGUUAAAAAGCUCGUAGUUAAUCUUCUGUUAAUUUUUAUAUAUAAUAUCACGAUAUUUAUAUAAUAUUAACAUAAUUCAUAUUACUUUUUAGUAUAUGAAACUUUACUUUGAGAAAAUUAGAGUGCUUAAAGCAGGCUAUUGCCUUGAAUACUCCAGCAUGGAAUAAUAUUAAGGAUUUUUAUUCUUC